CACGGUCGGCUCCUCUCAAACGAAUCAGCUUGCCAGCGUUUGGUGGCAUCGCAGGUGUGAUAAUUAUCUACGCUUGUGGUGUUCUGCCAGAUAACCUUCAGCGAUGGAGGUUCGCUGGAGCUCAUAAACGUCUCUCCUCAGUGGGGACAGCCCUUUGAACGUUUGAUCUCAAAUCAGGUAGGACUACCCGCUGAACUUAA
rnacentral:misc_RNA from 1 species